GCCAAGCCGCGUGAGGGAAGACGGCCCUAUGGGUUGUAAACCUUCUUUUGUCGGAGAACAAAACCCGGGACGUGUCCCGGACUGCGUGUAUCCGAAGAAAAAGCAUCGGCUAACUCCGUGCC
rnacentral:rRNA from 1 species